UACGUAGGGUGCGAGCGUUAAUCGGAAUUACUGGGCGUAAAGCGUGCGCAGGCGGUUCGUUGUGUCCGUCGUGAAAGCCCCGGGCUUAACCUGGGAACUGCGAUGGAAACUAGCGAGCUGGAGUGUGGCAGAGGGGGGUGGAAUUCCGCGUGUAGCAGUGAAAUGCGUAGAGAUGUGGAGGAACACCGAUGGCGAAGGCAGCCCCCUGGGCUAACACUGACGCUCAUGCACGAAAGCGUGGGGAGCAAACAGG
rnacentral:rRNA from 1 species